GUUCGGAUUGUAGUCUGCAACUCGACUACAUGAAGCUGGAAUCGCUAGUAAUCGCGGAUCAGAAUGCCGCGGUGAAUACGUUCCCGGGUCUUGUACACACCGCCCGUCACACCAUGGGAGUCGGGAAUGCCCGAAGCCAGUGACCCAAGCGAGAGCAGGGAGCUGUCGAAGGCAGGCCGGAUAACUGGGGUGAAGUCGUAACAAGGUACC
rnacentral:rRNA from 1 species